UUAAACAUUAAAGAGCGUACGGCGGAUGUCUUGGCAUAUAGAGCAGAAGAAGGACGCAGAAAACGGCGAAACGCUGCGUGGAGACGUACACAGUCAACGAAGCGCAGGUAUCCGAAUGGGGAAACCCGCCAUGCAGGAAAGUGCAUGGCAUCCUGAGGUAAAUACAUAGCCUCAGAGAGGACAACCCAGGGAAUUGAAACAUCUUAGUACCUGGAGGAGAAGAAAACAAAAGUGAUUCCGGGAGUAGUGGCGAGCGAAACUGGAGGAGCCUAAACCGGCAAAGAGCCGGGGUUGUAGGACCACAACAGAAGAAGGCAGAGAUAGACGAAUGAGAUUGAAAGCUCAGCGGAACAAGGUGCAAGCCCUGUAGUCGAAAUCGAAACUGGAACGAGUGGGAUCCUGAGUACGACGGGGCACGUGGAACCCUGUCGGAAUCGGCCUGGACCAUCAGGCAAGGCUAAAUACUCCUAUAUGACCGAUAGUGGACCAGUACCAUGAGGGAAAGAUGAAAAGAACCGCGGGAGCGGAGUGAAAUAGAACCUGAAACCGUAUGCUUACAAAAAGUCAGAGCACAUUAAAGUGUGAUGGCGUGCCUUUUGUAGAAUGAACCGGCGAGUUAUCCUUGCAUGCGAGGUUAAGCUGACAAAGCGGAGCCGAAGCGAAAGCGAAUCUUAAUAGGGUGAAAGUAUGCAGGGAUAGACCCGAAGCCGUAGUGAUCUAGUCAUGAGCAGGUUGAAGGAUAGGUAACACUAUCUGGAGGACCGAACCGACCCUCGUUGAAAAGCUGGCGGAUGACUUGUGAUUAGCGGAGAAAUUCCAAUCGAACACGGCGAUAGCUGGUUCUCCCCGAAAUAGCUUUAGGGCUAGCGUUGCGGUAAGCGUAGUGGAGGUAGAGCACUGAAUUCAUGCGGGUGGCACCUAGCUAUACCAAAUGAAAUCAAACUCCGAAUGCCAUUAUGUAGUAAGCAGCAGUCAGACUGUGGGUGAUAAGGUCCAUGGUCAAAAGGGAAACAGCCCAGACCAUCAGAUAAGGUCCCAAAAUCUACGCCAAGUGGAAAAGGAUGUGGAGACGCGUAAACAGCUAGGAGGUUGGCUCAGAAGCAGCCAUCCUUAAAAGAGUGCGUAACAGCUCACUAGUCGAGUAUCUCUGCGCCGAAAAUUAACCGGGGCUAAGCGUAGUACCGAAUCUAUGGAUUUGUGCAGCAAUGUAUAAGUGGUAGGGGAGCGUUCCAUGGAGCAUAGAAGCCAUACCGAAAGGAGUGGUGGAGCGCAUGGAAGUGAGAAUGCCGGUGUGAGUAGCGAGAUGUAGGUGAGAAUCCUACACACCGAAAGCCCAAGGAUUCCAGGGGAAGGUUCGUCCGCCCUGGGUAAGUCGGGACCUAACGCGAGGCCGAAAGGCGUAGUGGAUGGAAAGCAGGCGAAAGAUUCCUGCACCCGUAUAUGGAGCGAAGGAGUGACGGAGACGGAUAGUGUGACCCUCUUAAUGGAUUGAGGGCGAAGCGAAGCGGCUGGUUACCAGGCAAAUCCGGUAACCAUAAGGCUAGAGCGUGACAGGUAAGCGAAAUCUUCGGAAAGUAGCGAAGCACAUGAUGACGGCUUCCAGGAAAAGCUUCUGGCAAUGCAUAUGCGGCCCGUACCAAAACCGACACAGGUGGGCAGGGAGAGAAUCCCGAGGUGAGCGAGAGAACUGUUGCCAAGGAACUCGGCAAAAUGACUCCGUAAGUUAGCGAGAAGGAGUGCUUAAGCAAUUAAGCCGCAGUGAAGAGGCCCAAGCGACUGUUUAACUAAAACACAGCUCUCUGCGAAGUCGCAAGACGAAGUAUAGGGGGUGACACCUGCCCGGUGCUGGAAGGUUAAGAGGAUCUGUUAAGAGCGAUCUGAAGCAGUGAUCCGAAGCCCCAGUGAACGGCGGCCGUAACUAUAACGGUCCUAAGGUAGCGAAAUUCCUUGUCAGGUAAGUUCUGACCCGCACGAAAGGUGUAACGAUUUGGGCGCUGUCUCGGCAGCAGACUCGGUGAAAUCUUAGUACCUGUGAAAAUGCAGGUUACCCGCAACUAGACGGAAAGACCCCAUGGAGCUUUACUGCAGCCUGAUAUUGAAUUCUGGUCAUACAUGUACAGGAUAGGUGGGAGACAAAGAGACGUGCACGCCAGUGUACGAGGAGUCGACGUUGGGAUACCACUCUUGUGUGACCGGGGUUCUAACCUGGUAUCGAGAACAGGUACGGGGAGAGUGUCAGGUGGGCAGUUUGACUGGGGCGGUCGCCUCCCAAAGAGUAACGGAGGCGCCCAAAGGUUCCCUCAGCGCGGCCGGAAAUCGCGCGAAGAGUGUAAAGGCAGAAGGGAGCUUGACUGAGAGCCAAACACGGCGAUCAGGUACGAAAGUAGGGCUUAGUGAUCCGGUGGCAUCCAAGUGGAAGGGCCAUCGCUCAACGGAUAAAAGCUACCCUGGGGAUAACAGGCUAAUCUCUCCCAAGAGUCCAUAUCGACGGGGAGGUUUGGCACCUCGAUGUCGGCUCAUCACAUCCUGGGGCUGAAGUCGGUCCCAAGGGUUGGGCUGUUCGCCCAUUAAAGUGGUACGUGAGCUGGGUUCAGAACGUCGUGAGACAGUUCGGUCCCUAUCCAUCGCGGGCGCAAGAGAUUUGAAGGGGGCUGCUCCUAGUACGAGAGGACCGGAGUGGACGAACCAAUGGUGUACCAAUUAUCUCGCCAGAGGUAUAGUUGGGUAGCUACGUUCGGAAAGGAUAAACGCUGAAAGCAUCUAAGCGUGAAACCAGCCUUAAGAUGAGAUCUCUCAUAGAGUAAUCUAGUAAGACACCUUGGAGAAGACGAGGUUGAUAGGUCGGGAGUGUAAGUACAGUAAUGUAUUCAGCGGACCGAUACUAAUAUGUCGAGGGCUUGACUUG
rnacentral:rRNA from 1 species